GCUUUCAUAGCUCAGUUGGUUUUGGUUAGAGCACCCGUUUAGUUUAGUAAGCGGGAGGUCUUGAGUUCGACUCUCAAUGAAAGCA
rnacentral:tRNA from 1 species